rnacentral:misc_RNA from 1 species
GAUGAAGAACGCAGCGAAAUGCGAAAAGUAGUGUGAAUUGCAGAAUUCAGUGAAUCAUCGAAUCUUUGAACGCACAUUGCGCCCCUUGGUAUUCCAUGGGGCAUGCCUGUUCGAGCGUCACUACACACCUUAUCACAAUAUUUGUGGUCUUGGCAGGAGUGAAUUGCUGGUCUAUGGAAGUAUUCCAGCAGUACACAAUGCUAAAAAAUAUGGGAAGGUUACCAGAUAUGAACAACAGACUUUGUAAAUGGUUGUAGGACCUAGAUCAGUCACAAGUCAUGUCUGGUCCCUUACCUUAAGGACCCCCAUCCUAGAUGAACUAUGGGUUGACCUCGGAUCAGGUAGGAAUACCCGCUGAACUUAAGCAUAUCAAUAAGCGGAGGA